rnacentral:rRNA from 1 species
CCUACGGGAGGCAGCAGUGAGGAAUAUUGGUCAAUGGUCGGGAGACUGAACCAGCCAAGCCGCGUGAGGGAUGAAGGUACAGAGUAUCGUAAACCUCUUUUGUCAGGGAUCAAAGGCGGGGACGUGUCCCCGGAUGAGUGUACCUGAAGAAAAAGCAUCGGCUAACUCCGUGCCAGCAGCCGCGGUAAUACGGAGGAUGCGAGCGUUAUCCGGAUUUAUUGGGUUUAAAGGGUGCGCAGGCGGUCUGUUAAGUCAGCGGUCAAAGCCCGGGGCUCAACCCCGGCCCGCCGUUGAAACUGGCAGGCUCGAGUUGGAGAGAAGUAUGCGGAAUGCGCGGUGUAGCGGUGAAAUGCAUAGAUAUCGCGCAGAACUCCGAUUGCGAAGGCAGCAUGCCGGCUCCACACUGACGCUGAGGCACGAAAGCGUGGGUAUCGAACAGGAUUAGAUACCCGGGUAAUC